GCCGGGUGUGGUGGCAGGCGCCUGUAGUCCCAGCUACUUGGGAGGCUGAGGCGGGAGAAUUGCUUGAACCUGGGAGGUGGAAGUUGCAGUGAGCUGAGACCGUGCCAUUGCAUUCCAGCCUGGGUGACAGAUUGAGACUCCACCUCAAAAAAAAAAAAAAAAUGAACUUUUUUUUUUUAAUCUAAUCUCUGUUAGCCAGGCUAGAGUGCAGUGGUGCGAUCUCUGCUCACUGCAACCUCUGUCUCCCAGGUUCAAGUGAUUUUCCCGCCUCA
rnacentral:sRNA from 1 species